GGCUGUUCCCCGGGGUGGGGGUGGGGGAAGGAGGCCCCCCGAGGGAAGGGGAGUGGCCAGCACCGCGCAGCCUCAGUACGCCUCCUGAAAAUUUUCCACUCAGGCUGCGGGCGCCAAGGCCGGCGAAGCGCGGGCACUCACUACACUGCGCAGAUGUCCUCUGCGCAGACCGCUUCUGCUCACCCAGCGCCCACGUGACGGGACUCACUAGAUUCCGCCUUCCUCUGGUAACAUGGAAAAUUCAAGGACUAAAAAUUAAGGAACUGCUACGUAUGAUUUUCUGUACUUCAUGAGUUGGCAGCCAUGAACCUGGGGACAGAUCCAAGUGACCUGAGACUGCAGCUCCAUCCCGUGUCCUCCUGAGGAUGGUCACAGUGGUCUGACGGUAAAGAGGUCUUUGCCUUGGUCAUUUUACCAGCUGAUAUCUG
rnacentral:lncRNA from 1 species